UAGAUACUCCCUCCGUCCUAAAAUUCUUGUGUUACAUUUGUCUAGAUAUGAAUGUAUCUAGUCACUUUUUAGUAUUUAGAUACAUUUUUUUCUAGACAAACCUAAGACAAAAUUUUGGAAGGGAGGGAGUACAUU
rfam:Hordeum vulgare subsp. vulgare, WGS project CAJW01000000 data, contig: morex_contig_172029